UACGGAGGGUGCGAGCGUUGUCCGGAAUCAUUGGGCGUAAAGGGCGCGUAGGUGGCUUCUUAAGCGUGCGGUGAAAGCCUGGGGCUCAACCCCGGGUCGGCCGUGCGAACUGGGGGGCUGGAGCACUGUAGAGGCAGGCGGAAUUCCGGGUGUAGCGGUGGAAUGCGUAGAGAUCCGGAAGAACACCGGUGGCGAAGGCGGCCUGCUGGGCAG
rnacentral:rRNA from 1 species